GGCUGGUGAUGGCGGCGGCUAUGGGUUCCGCGCUGUUGCCCCUCUUGGCGUUUCUCGGGCCCGCGGCCGCGCUCGCCGGAUACAUCGAGGGAGUGAUUUCCCUUGGUGUUGCAGAGCAGGCAGUUUUUCCUUCCACCUUUGGAGUAAAGCUUUCAGCACGUGAUUGUUUUGUGCUUAGAAGCCCUCAGUGAAGUGUCAAAUUACUUAAAACUCAUCAAGAACCUGCCCAUCAGGUGGGUACAGCUGCAGCAUGUGAAUUCUUCCACUAAUCUUAUGGUCAAUUGUAUUUCAUCUAAGCCGACAGAAAAGAAUAGUGUUCUCUUCCCUACCUUGAAAUUUUUCAGAAAAUUAAUAAAGAAACAUCAAGGAAAUAAUUAUCAGUGUACAGAGAGUUCAUGCUUCCCACUGAAACCUGGGAGAGAUUAUUAACAAAAUCUCAUUUUAUCAAAAACAAAAUGGGAGAGGUGAUUUUUAUCUAUUUCCAUGCAGUGCUAUACAAUCUGAUACAGCUCAAUAGGGUGAAGAGCUAUAAAAUUCAGCAUAAGAAAUUCAGGUGUUCAACAUACAAA
rnacentral:lncRNA from 1 species